GAAGAAGAAGAGGAAGAAGAAAGAAGU
rnacentral:sRNA from 1 species